GCUUCUGUAGUACAGUGGGCAGCGCAUCACUCCCAUAACUUGGAGAUUCUGAGUUCGAGUCUCAGAAGAGGCA
rnacentral:tRNA from 1 species